rnacentral:tRNA from 2 species
CCUUUAGCUCAGUUGGUUAGAGCAACCGGCUCAUAACCGGUUGGUCCGGGGUUCGAGUCCCUGAAG